UGGACAGACUUAUGCCAGGAAUGACCGAAGGAAAGCUGGCCUUGCCUUUGAGCAGGAGAGUGUUUUCAGGAAUGGACCACUUGGAAGGAACCCACUAAUUUGAGCUGAAGGAGUUCAAGUGCUGCAGCUUACACUAAGUCCCUAGGUAAGCUGGCCUAAUGGACAGAUCACCCUGAAGAAAUAUUCAAGCUUCAUUUCUUAGCCAAAAUGCACCCAACUUUUGUUUCCA
rnacentral:lncRNA from 1 species